CGACCGGCGCACGGGUGCGUAACGCGUAUGCAACCUACCUUUAACAGGGGAGUAACACUGAGAAAUUGGUACUAAUACCCCAUAAUAUCAUAGAAGGCAUCUUUUAUGGUUGAAAAUUCCGAUGGUUAGAGAUGGGCAUGCGUUGUAUUAGCUAGUUGGUGGGGUAACGGCUCACCAAGGCGACGAUACAUAGGGGGACUGAGAGGUUAACCCCCCACCACUGGUACUGAGACACGGACCAG
rnacentral:rRNA from 1 species